UUAAUAUGAUUUGAUCCUGGCUCAGGACGAACGCUGGCGGCGUGCCUAAUACAUGCAAGUUGAGCGCUGAAGGUUGGUACUUGUACCAACUGGAUGAGCAGCGAACGG
rnacentral:rRNA from 1 species